GUUGAGGUGUUCGUGUUGUGUGAUAUCGCAUUGUUUUCAUUUUUCUCAUUUUCUGUUUCUUCUAUCAUGUUCAUUGGAUGGACAAUAUCAGACAUGGGUGAGUGUGUCACAGUUGAAGUGUUCAUGUUGUGUGAUCUCACAAUGUUUUCAAUUUUCUCGUUUCUUAUCUCUUUCAUCGUGUUAUUGGAUGUACAGACGUUUCUUCCGGUGAGUGGGUUACAGUUGAGGUGUUUAUGUUGUGUGAUCUCACAUUUUUUCAAUUUUCUCUUUCUCAUUUCUUUCUUCGUGUCAUUGGAUGGAUGUGAUCAG